GGUGGCAGGUGACAGCUUUGUUUGUUUGAAGAAAGUGAGUUGGUAACUUAUUCUAUCUGAGAAAUAAUUCAAAAAAUGAAAUCGGAGUGGUCGAAAACUUUUGCAACUUUUUAAGGUGACAUUUAAAAUUUAAAAUGUAUUAUUUUUUUAUGCCCGAAAAUUUAUGUUAAAUAUACUGCUACAUAACAAAUAGGAUGCUAUGAGUUGAAAUUCGAUCAACACUUCAACAGAACGUGAAAAACGAUGGAAAGCAUGCAGUGAAACUGUUGUUAAAGAAGCAAAUUCAUCGAGUUGUGGAAGGCAAAGAGACCCAUGCUCAGGUUACUAUAGAACUUGACAUUCCGAAAAUUCUGGAGCCCAAGUUUUUGGAUCGAAUUCGAAAAACGAGGAGGCAUUUUGUAGUCAAAGUAAGGUUUACAAUGUAGCUGCUUCAACUCAGUAACAGCCAACAGGUGUAAAUUUAUAUUCGAAGACCUCAUGAGCCCUAUGACUUUUUGAUGCUUGAUAUAUGUAUGUAUGUAUACCCUGAGAAAGAGAAUUACUGCUUUAGAGGCAUUUUUUUAUUCAGGUCUAUUAAAAUUUUCGUAUUCAAGUUAUCAAGUAGGUAAUUGAUUUAAUACCUAUUCGUAAUUCUGCAUUGAAAUCAUUCGUUGUAGGCAAUUUAAUAUCCUGAAAGCUACGCAUUACGCAUUACGCAUAUCAAUAGUCAAUAUCAAAAAAAAAAAAUUCUAUAUAACUAUUUAAUUCAAAGAAAGUUUACAAUCGGAACGACUACAUAAAACAUAAAAGCAUUAAUUAUAUAUAAAAACAAAUAAUAAUAAUAUGCAAACAAUAAAAUUAAAUUAGAACAAAUACACAAUAGUACACUUUUGUUGUAAUAUUUACAAUCAGAAAUACUUUAUAAUUAAAACCUCUCUAGUAAAGAUCCUUUACAGGACGUCUCAAAUAAAACAAAAUCUACCAGCAAUUUCGUACGUUUAGCAACAGAGAUGCAUAAUAAAUAUCGAAACAAAAACGCACAGCAGUGUGUACUACAAUUGGGAUCCAUCAAUGUAAAAUAAAUAAAUACAUUAAAUACAUAAGAGCAAUUAUUGAUGAAACUCUGUUUGCUUACAAAUUAACAACAUAAAUAGUCAUGCGAAUCAAAAAAGAAAUAAAAUCGAUUUUUGGCAUUACUGUAUAGGUAGGUACUGAGAAGUAACGUCAACUACAAAUACAUCGAAAACAUUAAUUUUUAACACUAUACUUCGGGGCCAAUGCGACGCAAAUAGAUAGAAUUACAAUACAAUUAACACUCGACGCCAAUACAUUUACGUAUUUCAUAGUAAUUACAUCU